AUACGUAGGGGGCGAGCGUUGUCCGGAAUGAUUGGGCAUAAAGGGCGCGUAGGCGGCCCGGUAAGUCUGGAGUGAAAGUCCUGUUUUUAAGAUGGGAAUUGCUUUGGAUACUGUCGGGCUUGAGUGCAGGAGAGGUAAGUGGAAUUCCCAGUGUAGCGGUGAACUGCGUAGAGAUUGGGAGGAACACCAGUGGCGAAGGCGACUUACUGGACUGUAACUGACGCUGAGGCGCGAAAGUGUGGGGAGCAAACAGGAUUAGAUACCCUGGUAGUCCACACUGUAAACGAUGAAUGCUAGGUGUAGGGGGUAUCGACCCCUUCUGUGCCGCAGUCAACACAAUAAGCAUUCCGCCUGGGGAGUACGGCCGCAAGGUUGAAACUCAAAGGAAUUGGCGGGG
rnacentral:rRNA from 1 species